UCAUUACUGGGAUAAAGCAGUCUACUGAGAAAAAGUCAUAUUUUUACUGCAGGAUAGAUCUCUUCCUUAUCACCAUUUCUGGUGGUAUUGUAAAACUCCUUGAAUAAGAAUGUAGACAUCUGCAUUCUGGACAAAGUAUGCUUAAAAAGGGUAUGAUGGGAUACAUGGAACUAUAAGAAGAUAUUCUGCUCUGGUUUGAACAUACUGAACACCUGGGCAGUUGGGGAACCUACCUGUAUGAUAUGUGCAAUACUAAUUAGUAUUCAUGUAGUUGUUGGAGUGAAAAUUGCUUAAUCUUGAAAAUUGCCUCCUUUUGCUGUGAGGAUCCAUGUUUAAAUAGCACAGAGCAGAUAUGGCCACUUGCCACCGGAGAACUAGUCAGACAGCCUGCUGGAGCAGCCCCUGCACCUGAAGAGUGUCGCUGAGAAGGGGAUGGUGCCCAUUUCCAGCUGGAGGAAGGUGGCCAGUGGCAGCUUGUGCAGCAGUGUCAGGAUAAUAUGAAUUACCUGCUGGCAGUCUUACUGUUGUUCACAGAAGUAAUCUAAAUGACCAGACUGGGACAUCUGUUUCCUCUUCAUGGGUUGUGAUAGCCCAAAACUUGGAAUAAAAAGAAUGUCUUCCAAUGAAAAUAUGUCCAAGAGCACUGUGGCCACAUUUAUCAGAUUGGAAUUUCCUAACCUGCAGAUGACUGAGUAACAAAGAAUUAAUAAAACUCCUGUACGUUGGGGAGAAUGGGAUUGG
rnacentral:lncRNA from 1 species